AAAAACUGAAACACAUAAAAGUGAUAGCCUACAAAACCCAAUCCAAUGAAAAAUAGAAUAACAAAAUCCAAAAAGAAAAACGAAUCCCAUGAAAAAAAACACAAAAAAUUAAAAAUUAAAAAAAAAAAAGCAAAUAAAAUGAAAUGCCCCAAGCCACUCCUCCAGUCAGUAAAAUAGUUGGCACCCACUCCUUAGAAAAUAUCCAAACCCUCAAAACUUGUCAGUACCAGUUUCCAAAAACCAACAGCCUUUCAAAAUCAAAACCAUUUGCUAUUCAUUCCUCUCCCUAAAGCCUACCUCUUCCUCUUUUGUCAAUCUAAUUCCCUCCUUCUCCUCCCCCAUAAUCUAUCAUCAACGACUAUCAGCACACUUCCAAUUAGGUAACUCUCUCUUCUAUUCUAUAAGCAAUCUGUGGCUAAACUAUGUGCUAGGGUAUUAGCAGAUCUGGGUAUGUGUUUGAACUUGAUACUAUGAAAACUCAUUUUCAACUGUUGUAUGUCCCAAAUAAUCGCCUCUAUCUCCAAUUUAUCUCGGAUGUCCGAUUGACUUUUUUUAAUAAUGGUUCUUGCAUCUCUUUCUAUGGUAACUGAUGAAAGGCCCAAAUGGUUUGCCAAAAGCAACGCUUGAAGGCACGCAUAUCCUUUCAUUGCAAACAGCGAAGCAAUCUUCUUGUGUAGUGUAUGUUUCGAAGCCAAAAUCUAACCUCGAGGUUUACAAACAACCACUCCAGGUCCAGAUCUCACCAAACUUUGAUUAUAAGCUGCAUCAAAAUUAACUUUGACAUCAGAACCUAAUGGCGCACACCAUUCCUCAUUAACAACAUAUCUUGUAAACUUCUUAUCUUUUAAACUGUCAAUCUCUCCAAUAGAUCUUGUUAUCCAAUCCGAUAUUUCUUUUCCUUUAAUCUGACUCCCCUCAUGCAGGACUAGAUUUCUAUUUGUCCAAAUUCCAUAGAUUGCACAACAAAAUAAUCUGCACUGGCCACUGGAACUCAUUCGAAAAAUCCAGGUAAACCAAUCUUCGUCGUUCAUAUCAAAAUUAGAAAAAAUCCAGUUUAGAUUUAAAUAAUCCCAAACUUCUAUUGAUAUAGGACAUUCUUUGGAAACAUGAUACAGGGACUCUAUUGCUCCACGACACCUGGACACAAGAUAUCUCCUCUAAUCCUUCUGUGUUGGAGAUUAACAAAAGUAGGCAGGAAAUUCCAAGUGGUUUUCCACAAAUAAAUUUUUACUUUUGAAGGGAUUUUUAGAUACCAUAGUUUUUUGUAUAGCUCCCAAGACUCAUAAUGUCUAUAAUUAGGGUUAAAAGUACCUUUAUGUAAUAGUUUAUAGGUGCUUCAGAUAGAAAAUUCCCUAAAAGAUUCCCCCUCCAAACCCAUAUAUCUUCAAUCCCUUCCCAAGCAAAGGAGUUCAUAAGAUUUUCAACGCAAUCUCAUCAGAAAAGGUACUGUUAAUUAGAUUUACUUUCUAUUCCUAGUAUCUACAUCAAUGAAAUCAAAAACUAAGAUUAACCUCCAGUAUUAACUUGUUCAUUAAUUUUGUAGUUAGGGGGAACCCGAGCCAAGCAUCAUCUUUUACUAAUAUAUUUGAACCUAAACCAACACUCCAACAAAACCUGUUCCGCAGAAGACCCCUAGCCGCCCACACACUUUUCCAGGUAUACGAAGGUAAAUUGCCUAAUCUCGCAUUAAAAAAAUCAGAGUUCGAAAAAUAUUUUGCCUUUAACACACGAGAUAAUAAUGAAUUGGGAAAAUUAAUAAUACACCACCCUUCUUUAGCUAGCAAAGCAACAUUAAAUUUUGCAAGGCUGCGAAAACCGAACCCCCCAAUCUCCUUUGCUUCACUCAAACGAUCCCAAGUGCACCAAUGUAUAUCCUUCUUACCAAAUCCUUCUUGCCACUAAAAUUUUUCCAUAAUACUCUCCAAUUUGUUACAAAAUGUCUUACGCAAUAAGAAACAAACCAUCGAAUAAUUGGGAAUAGCUUGAAAGAAUAGCUUGAAAGACUGAUUUAAUAAACACUUAUUUGCCCCAUUGAGACAAGUACCUAACACUCCAACUGUCCUUAAGAAUUUGAAAAGAAGCUUUCUUCCUUUUCCCUAUCAUGUUAGGCAACCCAAGAUAUCUUUCAGGGUCAUUCGAAUACUUAACUCCCAAAAUCCCUGAUACGAGUUGCCAAUCACCCAUUGAAGUAUUCAUGAUGAAGAAAAUAGUGGAUUUACUAAAGUUAAUACAUUAGCCAGAACAUUGCUCAUACUCUCUUAAAACCCCUUUUAAUAUUUGUGUCCCCUUCGCAUUCGCUUCCUCAAAUAAAAUAGAAUCAUCAGAAAAUAACAAAUGCAAAAUUCGAGGGACAUUUCUACUCGUCUUUACCCCUUUUAACAAGCCAUCUCUCAUAGCUAACCUCAUAAGGGAUGAUAAUCACUCACUACAAAUCAAAAAUAGAAAAGGACUCAAAAGAUCACAUUGUCGAAGUCCUCUAUUAGGUCAAAACCUUUCACUAAUUUUCCCAUUUACUACCAUCGAAUAUGAAACUAUAGAGAUACAUUUCAUUAUGGUCUCAACCCAUCGAGUAUCAAAUUCCAUUCGUACCAAAAUUUCCUAAAUAAAUUGUCAUUUCACUCUAUCAUAGGCCUUACUCAUAUUUAACUUCAAGGCCAUGAAUCCCCUUUUCCCCACUCUUCUCUUACGAACGUGUGCAAAAUCUCAUAAGCUAAUAGCACAUUAUCUGAAAUAAAUCUCUAAGGUACAAAAGAACAUUGGGAUUUAUCAAUGCUUGCAUUCGAUACCCUCUUAAACUGAUUAACAAUCAUUUUAGCAAUCAAUUUAUACAGAACAUUACAUAGGCUAAUAGGCCUAAAAUUCACUAAAUUUGUAGGAUUAGGAAUUUUCGGGAUCAACACUAUGUUGGUCAUAUUAAGCACGUCAAAAUCCAUACCUUUAUUUAAAACUUUCAAGCAGAAAUCAAUAACAUUUCUCCCAAAAAUCUGCCAGUACUUUUGGAAAAACAAAGUUAGAAACCCAUUGUCUCCAAAGGCUUUAGUUGGACCUAUUUCUUUCAACGUUGUGACGACUUCAUCCUCCAAAUAGGUUGUCGUUAGCUUCGAAUUGACAUCUUGUGAAAUAACAUUAUCAAUACCCGAAGAAUAUGAGACAUAUCUUCAACUCCACUAAAUGUAAAAAGCUUUUGGAAAUAACCCCGGGCAAUUUCUUCCAUUUCGCCCUCAUCACUAGUUUCCCUUCCAUCCUCAUAUUGUAAAGAUCGUAUGCAAUUCUUGUGCCUCUGAUGGGAAGCAUGAUUAUGAAAAAAAAGUUUUAUUUCUAUUCCCCCACUUUCAACCAAUUUGCAUGGGGUCUUUGCUCCCAAUAUCUCUCAUCCUUGUCAAUCUCGAGAUUUAAAUGGACCUUUGUAUCAAUGAUCUUCGCAAGACUCUCAUCAUUAACAUUCGUCCUCAUCAACUCUUUUAACUCCCUUGUCAAAUCCGUUUUGAGACCUUUUCUUUUUAAUUUAAUCGAACCAGACCAAUCCACUAAUCUCUUCUUUAGGUCCUCAAAUUUAAUCAAUAAAUCACCAGAAGUAGACGCCCAAAUAUUCACCAUAGCUUCCUUAAAAGAAUCUUCUAAUAUCCACCAAGCUUUAAACUUAAACCUUCUCCCUUUUAAAACAUUAGAACCCUGAUCAAUUCGAAUGAGAAGAGGGCAAUGAUCUAAGAAAGAAUAAGGAAAAUGUUAAAUUAUCGCAUUAACCAUUCAGCAAUAGCCACACCCCUAUCUAAACUUUCCCUAACAUUCGUCUCUGGUAAAUUCCUCAUUUCCAAUGUAAACCAAGCCCCGGAAUAACCAAUAUCCAUCAACUAACACUCCCCCAACACCUUUCUAAAAGCCUCCAUUCUAUUUUCCUCCCUUGUCAACCCCCUCACUUUUUUAAAAGCAUACAUGAUUUCAUUAAAAUUCCCACAUACCAACCAAGGAAGAUCACAAACACUACCUAAUUUACGUAAUACCCUCCACGAAUCAUCCCAAUUGUGUGCAUAAGGGAAACCAUAAAAUCCAACGAAUCUCUAGAUUUUUCCUUCUUCAAUAUCCUCCAUAUUAAUAUUAACGUGCCUAAUUGAAAUUUUUUUGAGAGUGAUCGAGACAUUACCCCUCCAAUCCAAACAAAGCCCUCAUCUGGUUCCCUUAGUCGAAACAUCAAUUUUGCUAAAAAACCCACACAUUUUUUGAACUUUUUUUCAUUUUUUACACUAUUUAUUUUAGUUUUCAUAAAGAAGACCACUUACGGAUUAUGCAACUUCAGCAUACACCGAAGUCUUCGUAUAGCCUGAAGGCGAACAUUUCAACUUAUCAUUUUCAUUGCGACCGGUCAGCAUGCCCCUUGGCAACCGCUAAUACAAAAACAAUUUCCAACACCUUUCCAUCAGUUGUCCCCAAAAAUCCAAACUCCACCCCCUGACUACAUUCAUUCUCUAUCCCUUCUAGGCCUCUUUUUACCAUCCCAUCCCUCUAAUAUAAGCUCUUCCAAAUCAUGCUCCAUGUCCAUUAAGCUUAAUACCUUAGACAGAUCAUUUUCCUAAAGGGACAUAAUGGUUUGAUCCCUUUCUAAAUUUAACCCCAACACUGGAUCAAUACGAAUCCCACUCUCCAUUCUUUCAUCUGUAGCCCAACUCCAUCGACCCAAACUCCAACGUCCAUAAUUACCCCAUUAUACCCCUACACCCUCAUCGCUUAACCACACACUAUUUAUCACCAUAACUUAACUAGAUUUAGCCAUUAAUGUCAAAUCCCAACCCAUCUCUACUACUUUAACGCCUAAAAUCAUCCUUGCUUGAGAAAAUGAAUCAUUAUGUCCCAAUUAACCGCAGAAGAAAAAAAAUAGAGUUAAACGCUCAUAUUUGAAAUACACAUAUGCAAAAUUUCAGGAUGCAAACAUUAACUUCUUCUUUCUCCUCAAAAGGCAUCUAACAUCCAAACAUAUUUGCACCUGCAUAUAACUCCUUAGCCCCCUCCCCAUACUCACACUAUCAUACUUCACAAAUUUCCCAAUGAAAUCACCUAAUUGUCUCACCAACAACCUAGAAAAGAAAAUUGGUGGAACAUCAUUAAUUUGAACCCAAAAAAGGGCAAAAAUCAAGGGCACCUUUAAUGGAUCCUCCCUUAGAACCAACCGAUGAAACUACAAUAAAUGAUUAUUAAACGUCCAAGAAGCUCCAUUAAUAACCCGUUCCAAAUCUAUCUUGUGAAAAACUCUUAACAUGAAUCUUUUUUCUCCUAAAUCUAAUAUCUAAACCCCUUUAACAAGGUGCCAUAAAUUAGUCAUUGUACUCUUCAUAAACAAAAAAUGAAUGACACUAGCCAUCCGAAAACACCCUACCAGACAGAACUCAUUCUCAUUCACUGCCAAUUCCACUUGUCUUUACACCUCCACAAUCUCAUCCUCUUCAUCAUCUAGAGAUAAUGCCGCUAGUUCCCUUUCUAUCAUUAAAACCUUGAUAACCUACACCAACAUCCAACCUUCGUAAAUGAACACAAAACUAAACUUUGCAGCAAAUAAAAAAAACCCAAGCCACACCCAAACCCUAAAAACAUCGUACCAAAACCAAACAUACAAAACCUAAAACCUAAAUCGUGCUAGAAUAUAGUAGACCAGAAGCAUGCUAGAAAGUAGACCUUUUUAUUUGAAUAUGGGUCGUUGUAUAUAAAUUGUUAAAUUGCUAGUUUCUCUUAAUUUCUUGCAUAUUGAUGGGUGUCAAAAUAGACUUCUACAUAGGUAGGGCCAUCUAGCCCAACCCGAAAGCCUGCUCAAAAAGUGGGAGGGUUUGGGCAAAAAUAUAAGCCCAAAAAAUGCGUUUUGGCAAAAAAAAAUAAUGUCCAUUUAAAAAACGAGUCAGGCCUCGGGUAAGGCAUUUUAUGCCCAGGCUCAACCUGGCCCGACUCGAAUUUACAAAAGGACAAAAAAAAUCUACUAUUUUUUUAUUGUUUUAAUGCUACUUUCUUCUUGUUGUUUUUCCCUAUUUCGCUACCAUUUCACUAUUAUGUUGCUCUUUUUUUUGUUAUUGUUUGGAUAUUAUAUAACACUUGUUUUAUUGUUAAUUUUGUUUUUAUUUUAAAAGCAUUUGCUUGUUAAGUUGAAUCUAUAUUAGUGUUAUUUAUAUAUACAUAUUUUUUAAAAUUUAUUUUCAAUUUAUUGAAAAAUAUUUAUUUUAAUACUUUUGGUAUUUUUGAUGUAUUAUAUAUAAUUAAAAAUUAUAUAAAAAUAACAUUAAAAAAUAUUAAUAUGGGGCGGGUCGGGCCGGCCCAGGUCUUAGCAUUUUUAUCCGGGUCGAGCUUGGGAAAAUUUUAGGACCAUUUUUAGGGCCGAGCCUAGGCCUAGCAAACGAGUAUAAAAUUUUGGUUGGACCUGGAUCGACCCAUGAACACCUCUACGUCGAAACCACAAAAUAUAAUUUCACACCCUCUAACUUAAUUAAAUAGUAGUAUAGAGUAAUAGGGUCAAUCCUAUAAGGACUGAGACUCCUAAUUUUCCUGUUUACAUAACCAAAUUCUUAAGUCUAGGUAGCUAUCGUGCCCACGACCUGUGCAUUGUUGAGCUGCAAAAAAUAAAAGGGAGACUUUAGUUAAUAAAGAAAAUAAGAAAAAAACAAAAAUAAAAUAAAAACAGAAUUAUGAUUUCAAAAUAAAAUUAAGGAAAUUAAAUUAAAUUGGUGAAUCAAAUAUAUUAAUACUUAGCCUCAAUCUCGGUACACUCCGAAAUCGAAUCGAUCAUUGAAAGUAGAUUUUCCUUUCUAAAAGAUAAGCUGGUUAUAACGAUCAAGGACAUCCCAACCGCCAACCUUUCCUUAUGUAGAUGGUUCCGGUACGACCUACAAACCAACCCUUUUAGAUUAUCUAACCACAUAACAAGCAUCCGCAAUUUAAGAUCACGAUAGCCUUGCGAUCUAGAAAAGUCCAACUGGAAUUAACGACCUCAACCUCGUGAGUCAUUUAAAUUCAAUCACUAUCUCUAUUGACAAAACCCAACUAGCUUUUUCCAAUUGAACACGUAAAUUUUUUCACAGGAAUUCGAACUCCAUAGAAGACCGUCUCGUUUUCCCAACUGUAUACCAGACAACUCGAACCCAAC
rnacentral:lncRNA from 1 species